UUUGUUUCGGAGAAGCGGCCUGGGCCCUUCGGACGUUCCCGUGUGGCCUUGCGGCACCGGGGACCUUCCGUUGGCCUUUUCGGCGGGCUUUUCCGAUUUGCGUUUGCUCGGGGAAGCGGCCUGGGCCGUGCGGAUUGUCUCGUGUGGUCGUCCGACCUUGAGACUUUUCCGCCGGCCUUUUCGGCGGGCUUCUCCAGCUCUCGUUUUCCCGGGGGAACGGCCUGGACCGUGCGGAUUGUCUCACGUGGUCGUCCGACCUCAAGACCUCUCCGCCGGCCUUUUCGGCGGGCUACCCCUUUUCCUCUACCUCAAUAUUUUUAAAGGG
rnacentral:lncRNA from 1 species